AUGCUCACGUGGAGGAUCUGCUAGAACACUGUGGAAGAGAGCUCUCUCAAACAGCUCAGCUUCAGAAACCUCCCCUCCUCCCGCUCGGCAGCAAACACAGCAGAGAGAAAACAGCAGCAGCUGAGAGGAUUCACAGUGGCUCCUC